GUAUGUUCUGUAUUGGUGUGUCACCUGGUUGUUUAUUAAUGUUUCGGUACAGGUUGGGUGGGGACGAUGAUUGUCAAUUAGCUGUCUAGUUAUGUGUGUGUUUGUGAGUUGUUGGUGCCAGCAACUAUGAUCUUCUACUGCCAACUCACCUAUUGUUUUUGUUAAGUUAAUCCCUUUUCGAAUGCUGUUUAAUGUGCGCCUAUUUCUUU